rnacentral:rRNA from 1 species
UACGUAGGGGGCGAGCGUUAUCCGGAUUCAUUGGGCGUAAAGAGCGCGUAGGCGGCUUGUUAAGCGAGAUGUGAAAACCGGGGGCUUAACCCGCGGCCUGCAUCUCGAACUGGCAGGCUUGAGUCUGGUAGAGGAGUGUGGAAUUCCCAGUGUAGCGGUGAAAUGCGCAGAUAUUGGGAGGAACACCAGUGGCGAAGGCGGCACUCUGGGCCACGACUGACGCUGAGGCGCGAAAGCUAGGGGAGCAAACAGG